rnacentral:rRNA from 1 species
CCUACGGAUGGCUGCAGUGGGGAAUAUUGGACAAUGGGGGCAACCCUGAUCCAGCCAUGCCGCGUGUGUGAAGAAGGCCCUCGGGUUGUAAAGCACUUUCAGUGAGGAAGAACGCCUGGUGGUUAAUACCCAUCAGGAAAGACAUCACUCACAGAAGAAGCACCGGCUAACUCCGUGCCAGCAGCCGCGGUAAUACGGAGGGUGCGAGCGUUAAUCGGAAUUACUGGGCGUAAAGCGCGCGUAGGUGGCUUGAUAAGCCGGUUGUGAAAGCCCCGGGCUCAACCUGGGAACGGCAUCCGGAACUGUCAAGCUAGAGUGCAGGAGAGGAAGGUAGAAUUCCCGGUGUAGCGGUGAAAUGCGUAGAGAUCGGGAGGAAUACCAGUGGCGAAGGCGGCCUUCUGGACUGACACUGACACUGAGGUGCGAAAGCGUGGGUAGCAAACAGGAUUAGAUACCCCGGUAGUC